UUAAACCCUAUAGUGUCGUAGCCAUGAAGGAGUUAAUAGGCAGAACAGUUACCUUCCCAGAUGUGACAAAAUGGCUGACCAGCAACAGCUGAGAGACAAGGCUGCUCCUAGAAAGAAAAGCCUCUUAGCAAGAGAAUAGUGCAGAGGAACAGAGCUCUACACCCAGGGAACCUUCCAGAAAAGGGAACUUAAUGAGAGACCUCCCAGAUAGCUGGAGGAGGCCUACCCUGCAAGGGGUUGUGUGCUGCUAGGGAGCCUAAGGGGGCUCUGUGUGAGCCUGAAGGUUGGAAGCGGCCCAGGAAAGCACAGUGUAUGGGCCAGAGGUCAUCUGCCUCAUCUCCCAGCUGUCAUCCUGAACAGAAUCUGAGGAUCGAGGACAAGACAUCUGAUGGGGUCAUCUUGCUGACAUGUAAUGAGAGCAGUUUUCACCUAUCCUACAUCUUCGGGAGCACAUCUUCAUGUGGUGUUAAUAUAGAGCCGGACAUGUGCAUGAUACUUCGUACUGCCCUGUUGGAAAUCUGCAUUCUCAGAGAUGUCAUUUCCCACAGGAAAAGUCUGUAUAUCCAUAACAAUGGGUAUCCCUCCAUUUGCAGCUUCCUGGAGGCAGAACCUGACCUGUCAGUCAAGGCAGGUUAGAAGUGGCCACACCCAUGAAUAUUUCCUUCUCUACCCCUCAGUUCAUUCUCAUUACAACAGACACAGAAAGGCACUAGCAGAGCUCCCCCUUUGAUUCUACAACAAAAUAACUUGUUGGGCUACCUUAUUUAGCCAUGUAGGAGCCAGGAGGGUUUGACAGGAGUUUCUCCACCUCCACUCUCUGGCUGUAACCCUCCCCCUAAAGCUGGAGAAGGCAAAACCCAAACAGAAGGGUUGCAGGCAGGCUUUUCCAGACUCUCACAAGCCAACCCAACUCUAAAAGGGAUGUUUCUUCCUAUUAUUUGGUUUAUUGCAUUUUACUGAAUUGUCUUUUAGCCUAAGGGCUCUUCAGAUAGUUUGCUUGAAAUCCCCUCUUCUAAUGCUGAGGUAACUGCAUGCACCAGCUUCCAGUGAAUUGGUAAGCUUCUCAGGUAGCUGCACCACACAGGCACCCCAAGGCACAAGGAUGCUGGCAGGAAAGGGUGCAAAAUCUUCUGGGCUGCCAACCCCAGCUCCUGGUGAGGGCCACCAUGCCCCAUUGACUAGACUGCCAUCCUCAGCCCCUGCUGAGGGCCACCAUGUAUCACCAGUCAUCCACAGCUCCUGCUAUGGGUCAGCAUGCUCAUCGCUUCUUCACCCUCCUCCAAGCAACAAAAUGUAGAAGGACAAGAAGAACAGCCCAAAUUUGGAACAACAAGGAAGUGGCUAAUGGAGCAUCUGUAAAGUUCAAAGAGCUCACUUAUGAAUCAUCUCAAAAGAGCAUGCAGCAGUAAGCCACCUGUCCAACCUCUUCUGAAUAACAGAUCAACACUAAAAAUUAUGGAUGGAUGACACAGCAAUUCAGCUUGAUUUUGCUAGAAUCUUCAAAAUCCAGCACCCCUUUCCACAAAUCUGCAGCUGCAAAUGUUUCAAGCCUCCCUCCUCCGUCCCAAAGGCUAUCUCAGAUAAGGUGGCAAAAAAGAACGCACGCGCGAUGAAAUGUUCUCCGAGUCAUGCAGUCGUCCGGCACUGACAGAGCUCAGCAGAAUGUGUGGAGGGACACAAUAGCAGAGUAGAGGAAAGCAGCUGAUGAACGUCAGGAGAGGUGGCAGCAGGAAGAUCAGAGGAGGCAUGAGGCAACGCUGAGGCUACUGCGGGAUCAAACGGACAUGCUCCGGUGGAGGUUCAUGAACAGCAGCAGGAUCACAGACUGCCACUGCAG